rnacentral:lncRNA from 1 species
GAGGCGAGGCUGGGUGAGCCCACACUGCAGAGGCUGAGGUGGACACCAGCUCUUGGGUAUGCACUCACCCCUCUCUCUCACUCACUGAUGCUUUUUGCUACACCAUAUGCAGUGUGGGACGAUGAAAGGCUGUGCCCUGGCAUCUGGAAAGUUUGCUGCUGUGCGAUGCUCAGCCUGGGCUGGGUGGUGCCACACCUUCACCACAGGUAGGACAGGAUGGUACAGAAUUCAAAUACAGAUUUGGAAGUGAUCACUGGCAGAAAAAAACUCCCAGAUGAUGCUUUUGUCGUAUUUCCAGAACUGCUAAUCUCCUCCUGACUUCCAACACUGCAAGUCAUAUUUGAAAAGCAAGUAAACUGUGACUUAUUUCCCUUUAACAAAGCUUUUUCUUUUGUAUAUGCAGAAUACCACAUCAUGGCCUUACUUGACCACUCAGAUUUAUAACUUCAUAACACAGAAACCUAAAUCCAAGAUUGCAACCAACCACAAAACAAAUUUGUAAGAAAUAACACACAAAAAGCCCACACAAUAUUAUUCUCAAGGCUUUUGAAACAACUUCUUAAUGCAAGACUAAAACAAACCAGACAAUUCAAGGCUUGAGGGUCUUGGUCUUUACUCCAUCCCACACUACAGCAACCCACAACAAAAAGUUUCAGUUGGGCAGAGUUGCUGAAAGCAGCAGCUCAGCACAGGUGUCUCUACAAACACACUACCCAGUGGUGUAACUUGACAACAUAAUGGCUUUCAGAUCCCACAUCAAGGCUAAGGAAAAGCUUUUCUGCAACCUGAAGGCACUGAGUAUUACUAAAUCGUGUCUCGUGACAUUGCUUUUAAAUACAUGAACUGGUGUCCUACAUAUGUUCUACAUGCCACAAUAAUGCAAACCUUUAUUAUGAAGGAAGGUCUGGUGACACUAUUUCAAAUUCAAAGUGUUGCUGGUUCUUCAGAGCACUGUUUGAGUCACAAAUCUAGCUUUAUUCUGGGAUCAAAAGCCUUCCUCACUCUCCUUUAAAAGCAGUCAGUGGAAUGGUUACAGAUAUGGCUUUGCCUGGGAGCACUGUAGUGCCCCUUACAUAUCUUACCAAACUUACAGACUUUCCUAGAAGAAAAAAGAAAAAGAAACCUCCACAGUAGGCACCAUUAAUAUUAGGAAAAUAAAGCUAUACAUUCUGAUGAAUUUCCAAGAGUGUUCUGUAAGCUACUGAUCCUUGUUUGAGGUAUAUUCCAGAAGAGCCUUCAUACUUUCGAGUUUGCAUCACUGCAAUGACUGUUGAAGAUGUAACAUAAUUAAAAACUGAUGCAUGCCUACUACUAUCCAUUUUCAGAAGACAGACUUCUUCUCACUUCCAAAAAAAACCCAACUUUGCUUAAAAAACAACAGAUAAACCAACAAAAACCACAACAGCCAUAGUAUCAUACAAAACAGUUAAGAUAAUCUGCAAAUCGGAGCAGGCUCUUGAAGCUAAAACCCUCACCAGCAUGUAAAGACAGAGUCAUCCCAAAUUAGCUCAUCUUCUGUUUUGACCUUUAUCUGGGGCAUCUGUUGAUUCUUUAUGCGCUUUCUUCUCUGUUUCUUAGCAGGUUUUUUUUUAAGCCUUCCAUCUUUAUUAGGUCUUGAUUUCUUCUCAUUUACUAAGUCUAUGUCAAGUUUAAUUCGCUUUCGUUUCUCUCGUUCUUUCUCCAAAUCUGCACCUUCACUAUCUUCCUUUCUUUUCAGUUUUGAGUCCUCUUCCUUACACUUCAACUCUUCACUAACGUAUUUUUUCUCCUUAGUAUAUUCUACCUGAAGGUCCUGUUCUUCUCUAUAGGAGAUGCUAAACGUUUCAGCAAGGACAAGUUUGCAAUACUCUUUAGAUUCUACAGCUGACAGACCAAAGCCAUCUGUGAUGGCAGCUGCCCCAAACGCUUGCCCUUCUAUACAGUGUGCUGUGUUAUACUGACAAUUUGGUGCAUUUUCUAGUGCACACUCACAAGCUGAUGAGCAGUUUGGUGAUCUCUUUUUCCCAAUAUUUGGAAGUGUCUGGGUUUCUGAAAAAAGGCUGGAAUGCUGGUUUGGUUUGCAUUUAAAGGCUGAAGGCUUAACCUCAUCAAAGUUUCCAUCCUGAAACUCUUCUGCUAUUCUCAAAUCCAUUCUUUCCUCAAGAUGUGUAGCUUUCUGACCUUGAAAGGAGUAGUAAGUUUUCCUUGAUCUCUUUGUGAGACUGCGAAUCUUUGUUGCUCUGCAUAAACUGGA